GACGAACGCUGGCGGCGUGCUUAACACAUGCAAGUCGAACGGAAAGGCCUCGCUCGGGGGGUACUCGAGUGGCGAACGGGUGAGUAACACGUGAGUAACCUGCCCUUGACUUUGGGAUAACUUCAGGAAACAGGGGCUAAUACCGGAUAGGAGCUCCUGUGGCGCGGGGGGGGGUGGGGAGAUUCGGGGGUUUGGGAUGGGCUCGCGGCUUAUCUGCUUGUUGGUGGGGUAGUGGCUUACCAAGGCUUUGACGGGGGUACGGGCCGUGAGGGGGACCGGCCACCUUGGGGCUGGGGUACGGCCCCGGCUCCUACGGGGGGCCGCCGUGGGGGAUUAUUCACCAUGGGUGGGAGCCCGAUGCAAGAACGCCGUGGGCCGGGUGACGGGCUUCCGGUUGUAAACCGGUUUCGCUCAUGACGGAGCUUUGUGUGACGGUAGUGGGUAAAGAAGCACCGGCUAACUACGUG
rnacentral:rRNA from 1 species